UGGAGAUGAGGAGCAUCCAUGCUAG
rnacentral:piRNA from 1 species